rnacentral:lncRNA from 1 species
AUAUUGAUGAGUUUAUUAUCUCACAGAGACUGUAAAAUGAUGCUAUCCAUAAUAUUCGGUGAAUCCAAUAAAAUAAAAUAAAACAAGAGAACGAAAGACUUCUCCUGUGAAAAUAUACAUUAAGGUAUCAAUUUUAUUUUAUUUCGUGAUUGAUAAUGAAUCUUUAUUUUAUACAAAAGAACAGGUCCUCUUAACACUUCAUAACCCAGCUGCCAAAGUUUUAUCUAUAAAUACAUGUCCAAGUGCACCGCUUAACCUACAGAAAUUGAAAUUUCUUUUUCUUUUUCUUUUUUUUCUCUUCUUUGA